rnacentral:rRNA from 1 species
UAAGACGUAGGAGGCGAGCGUUGUCCGGAGUUACUGGGCGUAAAGGGCGCGCAGGCGGCCGCGCGCGCCGGGCGUGAAAGCCCCCGGCUCAACCGGGGCGGGUCGCCCGGGACGGCGCGGCUGGAGGGCGGCAGAGGCCGGUGGAAUUCCCGGUGUAGUGGUGAAAUGCGUAGAGAUCGGGAGGAACACCCGUGGCGAAGGCGGCCGGCUGGGCCGACCCUGACGCUGAGGCGCGAAGGCGCGGGGAGCGAACGGG